rnacentral:precursor_RNA from 1 species
CCACCCUCAUCGCUGCCUGUGUGUCCACACUGGAGCACGAGGCAGCGCUGAGGAUGAAC